UACGUAGGGGGCUAGCGUUGUCCGGAAUCAUUGGGCGUAAAGAGCGUGUAGGCGGCCCGGUAAGUCCGCUGUAAAAGUCAAAGGCUCAACCUUUGAAUGUCAGUGGAUGCUGCCGGGCUAGAGUCCGGAAGAGGCGAGUGGAACUCCUGGUGUAGCGGUGGAAUGCGCAGAUAUCAGGAGGAACACCAAUAGCGAAGGCAGCUCGCUGGGACGGUACUGACGCUAAGGCGCGAAAGCGUGGGGAGCGAACAGG
rnacentral:rRNA from 1 species